GGUUCCCCCGCGAUCCCGCCAGGACUCGACUGCGCAUGCUCGCUCGUGUGACGUCAAGGCCCAACCCGGAUGUGACGGGCGAUGCCUGCUCGCUUGCUAACUUUGCCGUUUGCGAGGAUUUUGCGCCCCAAAUCGCGUCCAUUUGCGGACAGACGAGCGAGCGAACAGGGGACGCCGUUGCCUUUAUUCCAAGAUAAAAGCCAUCAAGGGACUGACGAGAAGGGGUUGACUCAGAGCUGAAACGAAGUUUCAAAAUGCUCAAGUAACUAUAACAGGAAAGUAACUGAUGACUCCAGUAACGGCACCAGUCCGAUAAGUGCUGGAGUGACGAAAUAUCAAGUGAGCGGCGUUUGUCGUCGUCGGCGGCGGGUCGGGCGGCGCCCGAAGCCGGGAGGUCAAGAUGAGCGGGGCGGCGCUGGGCGCUGAGAUGGUGGUGGUGUUCUUCCUGGCGCUGUUCCUGCUGCAUCGCUACGGCGACUUCCGCAAGCAGCAGCGGAUGGUCUUGUUCGGAACGCUGCUGGCCUGGUACCUCUGCUUCCUCAUCGUCUUCAUCCUCCCGCUCGACGUCACCACGACCAUCUACAAGCAGUGCAAGACGGACAGCCGGACUCGCGCCACCGGUUCACCGCCGUCCAAUCAGACGUCGGGGAACUCGUCGGCACCCGCUCGGAGCGCGCCAGCGGCGUGCUACGAGCCGUGGAGCAACAUCCCGGAUGGCGUCAUGCCCGUCUUCUGGCGGGUGGUCUACUGGACGUCGCAGUGCCUCACCUGGUUGCUGCUGCCGUUCAUGCAGUCAUACGCUCGCUCCGGCGGUUUCUCGGUGGCCGGGAAAGUCCAGACGGCGCUGAUCGAGAACGCCAUCUACUACGGAAGCUACCUGCUCAUCUUCGGCUCGCUGCUCAUCUAUGUGGCCGUUCACCCCGAGUGGCGCCUGUCCUGGUACGAGCUUCAGACCAUUGGCAUCACGGCGGCCAACACGUGGGGCCUGUUCCUGCUGGUUCUGCUGCUGGGCUACGGCCUGGUGGAGGUCCCGCGCUCCUACUGGAACGCCUCCAGGCACGGACACUUGCUCCUCAAGACGUACUUCAAGGCCGCCAAGCUCACCACGGAGAAGGCGGACGCCGAGGAGAACCUGGAGGACGUCAUGGAGGAGGUGAGGAAGGUGAGCGAGGCCGUCAAGUACAACCAUCCCCUGAGGAAGUGCAUCGACACCAUCCUCAGGAAGUGCCCGACGGACUACCAGGACAAGAUGGGCCGCAACAUGGACGACUACGAGGACUUUGAGGACAAGCAGACCUUCCCUAGCGAGAGGAGCCUGGUCAAGCUUCACAAACGGGUGAUCUACGCGGUUCAGCGGCACAAUCGCACCCGCGUCCAGUGGCGCAUGCUCCUGGAGGAAGCCUUCCACCUGGAGGACGUGGCCAAGAACGAGAGCAGCUCCACGCGCCGCUUCGUGCGGACCUUCCCCGCCGCCGAGGCUCCGGGAUGGCCGCGCAGAUACGUCUACACGCCCGCCGCAGAGUGGUACUGGGAGUGCCUGCUGAAGCGCGGCUCCUACCGGGUCCUGGCCGCGGUCCUCGGCUUGUUCAGCGUCGCUGUGGUCUGGUCCGAGUGCACCUUCUUCAGCACCAAACCGGUCCUGUCGCUCUUCGCCGUCUUCAUCCAGCUGGCCGAGCGCGACUACAACUACGUCUACAUCCAGGUGGCGUGCUUCAUCACCAUCUUCUUCCUGUGCACGUGCGUGUACUCCACGGUGUUCCGCAUCCGUGUCUUCAACUUCUACUACCUGGCGCCGCAUCACCAGACGGACGCGUACAGCCUGCAGUUCAGCGGCAUGCUUUUCUGCCGCUUGACGCCGCCGCUGUGCCUCAACUUCUUGGGUCUCAUCCACAUGGACGCCGCCAUCUCGCACCGGCACAAAGAGCAGACGGCCUACACCUCGAUCAUGGGCUCCAUGCGCGUGCUGUCCUUCGUGGCCGACGGCUUCUACAUCUACUACCCCAUCCUGGUGGUCAUCUUGUGCAUCGCCACCUACUUCAGCCUGGGAACCCGCCUGCUCAACCUGCUCGGCUUCCAGCAGUUCAUGGGCGACAGCGAGCUGACGUCGGACCUGGUGGACGAGGGCAAGGAGCUGAUUCGCCGAGAGAAACGCAAGCGCCAGAGGACGGAGGACGGCGAGAACAGACGUCGCGAGCGUUACGGCGGCGCCAGGGAGGAGACGAGCGGCAGGGGCGGCAGCGUCCACCGGAUGGCGGAGGCCGGCGACAGACCGGGCAAGUUCGGCCGUUCCGCCGGUCGAGCGGAUCGCGACCGCGCGGAGCUGCUCCGGGACGAAGAACCCACGGACUUCAACGCCGAGUCGGCGGGGGACGAGUCGGCGGCCCACCAAGACGGAGGAAGUUGGCCCAAAUGCCAGUCGGCGACACAUUCGAGUCCUCAAACGUCAUCACGACGACGACAAUGCGUCGUUUGGUAGCGCUUUGGUGCAUUUGCGCCUUUCGGAGGACCGUCGCCGUCUUCCGCUUUGGGGAGACUUUCGGAGGCGAUUUUGUUCAGAAGGUCCCCAGAAGCACGACGUCAGAGGCGCCUCGCUUGAGUUGGGGGUCCGAUGCCCACGGCGACCCGGCCGAGCUUUGGAAAGGAGCAAGAGAGGAAGGGAACGAACAUCCACGGGCGGACGCUACUUGUCCAUGUCGUCGUCUCGCAGUCGCAUUUUUGACGACGUCUAAGCGAGCAAACGCGACGGCGGCGGCGGCGGGGGCUCCACCGGACUUCCGUCCGCCACCGGACCGGCAGAGGGCGCCAUCCACCACGUCUGCACGUUUUCCCUUCUCGGAUGAUGCCGACACGCGAAAACAACACUUUAUAAUUUUCCCUCUUUUAUCCUGUGCCACGGAUGCUGUUGUAUAGCGAUAGGAAAUAUUUAUGGAUGUAGUUUGUCAUUUGUGCCGUCAAACUCAGUAAAGCUCUUCAACAGUU